AUGGACCAUCCUCUGCUCAGUUGCACAGUUGGGACGGUUUUUAUACGGCGCUACACCACCGUGUGGCACUUCGGUAGCGGAACCAGAUUGAAUGUUCUGAGUCGGCAGCCAGCCAAUUCCACAGUGUUGCUUCUUCCCCCAGCAACGGAGCAGAUUGCAGCAGCCAACGAGGCGACGCUAGUGUGUUCGGUGAAUAAUUUUUACCCCGAUUCCGUGAAAUUUGUGUGGAGCGUGGACGGCAAAGACAGAGAGGGGGGCAUCCAGACCAGUUCGACCUUGCAGGGCUCUGACCAGACGUAUAGUGCGAGCAGUUACCUGACCCUGUCCAACUCCGACUGGAACUCACACGAGAUUUAUUCCUGCGGCGUGAAACACGAGACUCUUGGGUCUACACUUGAGCAAAGUAUCAGACGAUCAAGCUGCAUGUGAUUAAGAAAUAAAUUUAUUGUUACAACCAACGUAUCUGUAUUGCUGUUUUUAAAAAAACUCGCGGCUGUUUCGUGUUUUGAGACUCAUCCAAUGAAAUGUCCAUUUUGCUGUUGAUGUUGACCUUUUGAAAAAUGAUACUUCAUUGUUUUUUUUUCCUGUACGUUUUAUAUUUUAAAUACAGCCAUUGCAUUUGUGCGCAGUCUAUUAACAUUUUACUUUUAGCCCUGAAUA